UAACCCUAACCCUAGCAACUAUUUCAGGUAACCCUAACCCUAACCCUAGCAACUAUUUCAGGUAACCCUAACCCUAGCAACUAUUUCAGGUAACCCUAACCCUAACCCUAACAACUAUUUCAGGUAACCCUAACCCUAGCAACUAUUUCAGGUAACCCUAACC